rnacentral:lncRNA from 1 species
UCACAUGAAAUAACAUAAUAUGUUUUAGGAAACAUUUAUCUUUAAAUAGAUUCGACGCGCCCAUUCGACUCUCCACGCGCCUCCGAUAUCAAUCACCUGAAACUAUUGAAUAUGGGAUGGGCAUACAAGGUACACUCAGUGUGGGAACAUGCAAUAAUUGUCCAUGUUAAUAAAAUGGUAACACAUAUUGUCAUAACGUAACAUAACUUCCAUACGCACUGUGGCAACUCCAAGGACUUUAAUGUCCCGGACCCUAUAUAUGGAUCCCUGGCGACAAUAUAAUGGUUGCAACCCUGUAAUAUGAAAUCGCAUUGUGGCAUACCAAGGACGGUGAAGUCCUGGACCAAUUAUGCUGGCCCCUAGCGAUAAAUAUUUUUACAACACAUAUGGUAAACACAUAAUAUUAAAAUGGACAAAUAUUAACCACGUGCAUGUACUGAAAUAAAUCCCACACCUGAAACUUGAACUUUUGAGCUUUGAAAAUUAACUGCAAGAAUUUAAAGUUCACAUCCUAGUCGCGCCGCACCUAGUCAGAUAAAUUCAAAUAAUAACAUAUAAGGGCCUAUUUGAACUUUUAGGAAAAUAAUAUAAACUAUAGGAUCAUUUAAAAAUAAUUGAUCUAAUAAAUUUAAGUAGUAAAAUAUAUUUUCUCAUGAAAAUUUGGAUUAAGAAAUGAUUUAAUAAUUUAAAUAAUAAGAUAUAAUUUCUUAUGAAAAUUUUUGAUUAGUAAAAUAAUUUAAGGAAAUAAAUAAUGAGAUGCAUGCUUCUUUAAAAUUUGGGUUAGUGUUAAAAAUACCAAGUCCAAUUUAAUUAAAAGAAUUAUGCAGCCCAAAGCAAAUAAAUGCAGCCCAAUUACUUAAUUAAUCUGAGCCCAUUCCUAAGCCCAUACUAACUUUUCCUAAUUAAAACCCCCAAUUCACCAACACAUAACACAUACGCAGCCUCACAUCUUCAUUCUCUCUACCGCUCUCUCUCUCAGCCGUUCACUCGGCCUCCUGCUGCCGCCCCGGACGGCACGCCGCCGCCGGAGGCCGGCGGCUCUGCCUCCCCCUCCCGUCUCCUCAACCUCUCUCCCUCUUCCCUCAGGUCUUGUCUCCCUCUCGCUCCCCGUCGAUCUCUCUCCUCACCGCACCCAGCUGCGGUCGCUCCGACGACCUUUGCCGACUACCAGAUCUGGCGUCCUCUUCCUUUUCCGGCCGGCAGAAACGGCCGCCGCCUCCCCUUACCCCUCUCCCUUCUCUCUCCUGGCCGACAGCAGCACCACCAUCGCCGCCCCCGCGUCGACAGCGGCGCCGCCCAGCCGCCUCCUUCCUCUGUCCGACCAAGAACAGCACCGCAGCGGCCAAGGCCAUAGCGCCGCCGCCCCUGUCUCCACCUCCGUCGGCCGCCGUGGCGCGCAGCUCCGGCGGUAUUACUGCUCCACCGUUUCCCCUCUUCUUCCCUCUCUCUUUCUGCCUCCCCUAUUUCUAUUUCCUUUUUCCAUGUAAUAUAUAAGAUCUAUUCUAUUUGAUUUCUUAUUAAAUAUAAAUGAUAGAUUUGAUGAUGUAUGCAUGUAUGAAUUUAUAAAAACAAGAAUUUUGUGGGAGUUUGGUUGUUUUCUGUAAAUUGAAAGAAAACAGAAAUCUUUGCAUAUGAAAAUAAACUAUACAAGUUUUUGAGAAUUACCUAUGGAGAUUCGGCAGUGGAAAGGAAACAGGAUGAAUUAUAAAAGACUUUUUCCUGUUGGAUUUUGUUGGGUAUUUGCGAUGAAGAAGAUUAGAUAUACAUAUAUAUACUGGAUUGAAAUAUCGUGGUUGAGGAGUAAAAAUCGAAUUUGUGAAUUUGAGUAUUCGUCAAAGAUUUGAAGUGUGAAAGAAAUCCUACUAUGGAAGGAAAAAAAUCAAGAUUUGAAAUCAAAGUUUCGCUGCUGUGGUUGUCAAAUUUUACGGAAAGGGAGUUUGAUUAGUGAAUAGGUGUGUGCUUGUGAUUUUUCUGAAUAUAUAUAGAAUGUUCAGAGAAAUACUUGUAGUUGUAGAGAUGUAAAAACAAGAAAUGAUAAAUUGUACUGAAAUAGAAAUUUCAUAGAUUGAAAAUUAAUACCAUGUUGAUUGAUCUGCAGUUAGAGAGAAAAACUUGAUUAUCUCGAAGUAUAGUUUUUGCUUUGUAAAAUUUGCAGAGAUGGAGUAGAAGAUGUAUAUAUAUAUGAUGAGCAUAAAAAUGGCUAAAUGAAGAAAAAUAGGGACGGUUAGAUAUCUGAUAAGAAUAAAAAUAGGAAUGGAUGGCUUGGAGACUUCUUUAAACAAAUGUAAAUAAAUAGAGUAGAAAUUGUUAAUUUGCAGAUACGAAAAUAAGGUAUCCAAAUCCUUGAAAUCAUUAAUAAACUAUAAAUGUUGAAACUUGAAUAAUUGUUUUAGGAUCACUGCAAAAGAAUUUGGCAUAUUAAUAACAAUAAGCCCAACACUAACAAAAUUUAUGAAAUUAUUUUAUUCUUAAUCCAAAAUUAAUAUAAUGUCCAUGAUAAAUAUAUUUAAGUAAAUAAAUUUAUUUAGGUCCAAAUUUAUAUAAAAAUAUUUUUGAAUAUAAAACUUUAUUUCUAUAGGUAUAACCUAGAAUUUAGAGUCAUACAUCUAGCUAGGGGCGCGACUAGAUAAUUCUCCACAAACUCGACUCAUAGAUUUAUAUUUUUAAUAUCUCGAAAAUAUAAAAAUUUUCAAAUAAAAUUUGCAAAGGUAGUAAACGGUUUUGGGCUGUGACAUGACUACGAUGAAACCUUUGCCCUUGUUGCAAGACUAGAAGCAGUCAAACUUUUCCUAGCCUACGCCACUAAUAAGAGAUUCAAAGUACACCAAAUGGAUGUGAAGUGUGCAUUUCUCAACGGAGUGCUCACUGAUAAAGUUUAUGUGGAACAGACUCCAAGAUUUGAAGUUGCUGGACCAGAUAAGGUGUACAAACUGAAGAAAGCGCUCUAUGGUUUGUAAGACAAACAACCAACGAAGCAUGGUAUGAUACUCUCUCANAACUAAUAAACUGCUUUUACUCCGAACUCGUAUGGAGUCGAAUUUUAUAUCAAUAGAAACCUCUUUGAGUCUAGUUUAAUUGAAAAAAAGUAUGUUGAAAAACUCCAAGUAGUUUAAGAGAUAUAGCGAUUUUCCCAUCGCCUACCAGAUUCGGCAGUUUCUGCCAACUGAAAGUCCAGAUUUUUGAAAAAAUAGCAAACGUUACCUGAAUGACCUCAAAUUUUAUAUGCAGAUAGAUAACGCAUAUAAAUUUAUACCAUAAAAAUUUGAGAGCUAAAUAUCAACAUAUGGUUACUGAAAUAGUUAACUUAAUCAUCUGCCUUACGACAGUUUCAACAGAUACGGGCAGUAGACUUCUCAAAUUUUAAAAGGGUAGUAAACGAAGUUCAAAUAACAUGAAACUUUGUACAAAUAUUCACCACACUCCCAUCUAUACCCCAGAAAUUUCCCAUAAUAUAAUAGAAACGGGAAUGCAUCGAAAUAAGGGCGUCAACUUACCCUUGUCCAAGUGAGCACUAAUGGAAGUUGUUCGCCGGGGGUUUUUCUGGUCGUCGUUCCGCGAUGGAGUUUAGCCGCGAAGGUCUACGACUUAGUUUUCCUCGUGCGAGGUAGAUCAGGCUACACAACGGUGGUUUCUCGAUCCUUUUUCGUCGUAAGGAUAGUGAGAAACGAAGGCCGUAAGUUGGCCGGUGGCUAAGUCGGGAAUUCGACGUUGGCCGCCGAAGGAUAUUGCGGCCUUUGGUCAGGAAAAUAUAUAGAGAAGGCUUCGGCCUUUCGAUUGUUGGGUUUGGUAGCCUGAAGAUGGAGGAACGAGUACACGUUCUCGGUUCAGAGCCUAGUGGUCGGUCGGCGAAGAAACAACCCGGCGAAGGGAGCUCACUUGAGCUCUUGCAAGUAAGAAAUUUAAAAAAAAUUCUCCUAAACUCUCUCUUGCCUCACACCUCUUGCUGCACUUCUAUUUAACAAAGGGAGAAAAAAUAUACAGUGUUUACAACACUCACAACACUCAACUCACAACCCGUUAUACCCCGAGAAAAUUACUAUCUAAUUUUCUCACACCAAAAGCUUCUAACUAAGCUUUUGUCUCAAACCCUCAAACUCUCGUAUUUGAGAUUUUACUUCAACUUACUCUUGCUCUCUCUAACAGAAAGAAGUAUUUUCUGCUUUGGUGUGUUUUUAAACUGCUGCGAAUCCUAGCAAUUUAUAGGCAAAACUGGAAUAGUGUUACUGUAGCAAAGGUUGAAAAAUCAUGUAGCAAAACUGGAAUACGUGAAAGUCCAAAGCAGCCAAAAUUUUCUGCAAAGCACCAAUUUUUUUGACAAAUUGUUAGCACCAACUUUUUGACUAACAAGGGAAUAGUGUAGGAAUUGAUGUGUUGGAUGAAAAAUCGAGACAUACGUGUAGUGCCGUGAUCUAGUUUCUCCUAGUUCCUGUAAUAAUUCUCCAAUUCUCGUUUAAUAAAUACUCGUCGUAUUUAUAUAAAUUAAAUCCUCAAUCUUGAGAUUUAAUACGUGAAAGUCGAAAUUAAUUCGCGACUUAGUACUAAACAUAUAAAGCGUGAAAUAAUAAAAUUAUUAUUAACAUAAACUCGAGUUAUAAUUCUAGCAAUUCGAUUUAAAUAACACGAUUUAUGAAAUCGGUUAUAAAUCUAAAAUUUCUAAUACUAUUGAUUAAAUCAAUCAACUGGUAAUGCAAGGUCUCAAACGUGUAGCUAAACCAAUAAUUUAAUUAUUGGUUUGAUUCAUGAUUGAAUAUUAAAUCGCAGCUCUGUAUCUCUUAUACAGACUUUUGCUGAAAUAAUAUUAUCUGAAUAAAAUAGUCACAAUAAAUAAUUAAAAGAAUUUUAUAACUAAUGCACAUGUUUAAUCUAAUAUAUAUUUAAAAGAGCGGGGCAUUAUGUGUGUUAUGUUAGGGUUAGUGUUUAGGUUGGGCUCAAGGUUUUGGGCUUGUAUGUGGGCCGAAAAUUUUUAUAAAAAAAGAAAGAGAGUGGGCCGAUUUUUAUUUCUAUGUGGGCCGAUUUUAUUUUAAUUCUGCUGGGCCCUUUUUGUUCUUAAUUGAUGGGUUUUUAUUUUAGUUGUGUGGACUAAUUUUAUUUAAAUGCUUGGGCUAUUGUUUUAAAUAUAGGCCUACGAAUCUUGGCCUUAUUUUUUUUUAAAAAAAAAAAUGUUUGAAUUUACACUAAAUUAUUUAAUGAAUUUAAAUCUCUUGAUUUAAAUUUUAAUAUUUAAAGUUGGGAUUAUUUAUUCUAAAUGAAGUCCAUUCUAUUAUUUAAAUUAUUAAUGGACUUUAAAGCAAAUAUUUUGGGAUUAAGCCCCAUUUAUUAUAUGAUAAAAUUAUUUUCAAAGCUUACGAGUAUGGAUUUCUUUUUUUUUUAAUGGUUAAAAUGUUUUAUUUCAUCUCAAUGGAUUUUAAAAUGUUUUAUUAUUUAUAAAUGAAUAAUGGAAUUUCUUAUUUAUUUACAUAAAAAAAAAAUGAAAUGUAUAGAAUAUUAUAAAUAUGGUUUCUUUUAAAAGAAAAAGGAUUAAAUUAUUUUAUGAGUAACUCCAUUAUAAUGGAAUUAAAAUGUCCUAUUAGAAUGGCUUCAUGUUUUAAAAAAAAAUAUUUAGACUAUUUAUGUAGAAUUGUGUUAUAGAAUGAUUAAGUAUAUGAUUUACUUUAUCAAAUGAGCUUGGGGAUUUAAUUGAGAUAUUAAAUUGCUAAGCAUAUGUUUAUAAAUGAUUUAUUUAUUUAAGUGAUGAAAAAUGUGCGAAGUAUGAGAAAGCAUGAUUUAUAAUGAUUAAAUUUUCAGGGUAAUAAUAUAUAGCUUGUUCUUAAUUGAUGGAGUACUUGACUAAAUGACGGGUGUAGAAGGAAGUUAUGGAUUAUGUACAUGUUGAUGUUCGAACAAAUGGGUUCGAACCUAUAUGAUAGUUACAUGAUAAUUGGUUACAUUUUAUUGAUUGAAUGAAACGAGAUUAAUAUGGAUGCUAGAACCCUAAAACAUUAAAAGAUACCUUAGGCACGUAGAAUUAGACUUUGUCUUAUGACAAUUUCUUCACGAACUUAUCGACUCUUCAUCAAUGAAGGUCCGGGCGACAGAAAGUGAAGCAGAAGAAGAAACGACUCCACGCCAGCUUUAAGAACAAUUGAGGUGGGCAUUAUUUUAUUAUUACGUAUAUAGAGAUCCCCUGCGUGACGUAGGCCUCAUAUGCGAAUAUAUAUGCAUGAUAUGUUUUGACUAUUUAUUCAGUUCUUAUGAAAUGCUUAUAUGUUUAAUGCCCUUUAUGAAAAUGAAAAUGUUAUGAAAAUGAAAUAUUUAUGAAAUGAUUGACUGCCAAAAUGUUUAUGUUUUUAUAUGUAUCCUAUCUGUGUUGGUUCGCCAACUUUAAAGGAAAUCCAAUUGGGAUCCUAUGCUAGACAAAGGUCGCUAGCUAGGGUUAACGUGUACACUCAUGGAGACCGCGAGUCGCUUGCGACCGGUCUUGGCGUCCGUGGUAAGGAGGCCUCCUUCCCGGCGCGUGAUAGAAAGGGCAGAUAUGGAUCAUAUAGACUGAAAAUGGGAUGCAUCCACCUUUAUGAAAAUGAACGAAAUGUUUUAGUAAGCGCAGGUCAUUUAUGAAAACCCCUGUGUGUUACUGUUAUGGCAGUUCAAUUUAUAUAUGUAUGCAUGUUGUAUUUUCGGCUUAUGUCACUGAGUAUUUUUAUACUCAGCCCUGCAUGUAUUUCUAAAUGUGCAGGUUGAGCAGGCGAUGGAAUGGAUCGGUGUUGAGCGGAUUUCCCUUUUGAUGUUUAUGUAAUGAAACCUUGAGUAUGCAUCUCCAUAUGCAUAACUCACACGUUUUUCUGCUGCAAACACUCUGAAUUUGUUAUCGUAUUGUGGAACUUAUUACUCCUUCAUUUUGUUUAACUUUCAUUUGGGGUUUAGUCAUUAUGGCUGGCUCAUUUGUUAAUUACCCAAGUGGUUAUAUAUAUAUAUAUAUACCACUAGUUUGUUGUUAUUAAUGUUGGUUAUUUAGUAAAUCCCUUUUAAAUUUCCAUUUCUUAUCGUUCACCCAAGUCAUAACCCCGGUUAACCCGUCAUUGGGAUAGUGGGCUGUGACAAAAACACACAUCAUAGGGCAGCAUACAGAGAUCAUACGCAACUAAUGCAUCACCAGCCAUCCCCCACCACAUAGAGAAUGAACAUACACAAAGGAAGGCAUCACAGAACGAAAUCACCUGUUUCGCUUAACCUCACUUUCGCGUUUGAAAGAUUCUUUGAGGUCGGAGGUUCUCUUGGCUUCCUCCCUUUCGCGACUGAAUGAUUCUCUGAGGUCGGAGAUGCGCUUCGCCUUUUCAAUCUCCGACGGAAUCGGCUCCGAUUCAGAGAGAGGGAGACGCCCAGCUUCGAUGUCCGGAAGCAACUACGGCCCCGCUUCGGACUCCGGCAAAAUCGGCUCCGACUCAGAGAGAGGGAGGAGCGCAGCUUCGGUGUCCGACAGCAACCACGGUGCGACUUCAGUUUCCGGUGGAAUUGGCUCCGAUUCAGAGAGAGGGAGGCCCGCAACUUCGGUGUUCGGCAGCAACCACGACGCCGCUUCGAAUUCCGGUGGAAUAGGCUCAGAUUCAGAGAGAGGGAGGCGCACAGCUUCGGUGUCCGGCAGCAACCACGGCGCCGCUUCAGACUCCGACGGAAUCGGCUCCGAUUCAAAGAGAGGGGGGCGCGCAGCUUCGAUUUCCGGCACGACAGUGUCCGAUUCACACACAUCCAUCUCUGAGAAACGGAGUUUCUUCGACCAUCGUCUCAGAUUCCAUCGAGGAAGACGAAGAACACAAUUCAGAGAGAUCUAAUGUUUUGAAUAGGGAGAGAGAGAGAGAGAGAGAGAGAGAGAGAGAGCCUUAGAUCUAGGUUAGAUAUGAAUAAUCUAGAACCAAGUAGGGAGAGUAAUAAAAAAUGAGUAGGCGUAAUUAAUUUAAAUAUAAGGAAGGAUGAACUAAAUAUGGCAAAGGGUAGUAAUUAAAUGAAACAAGGGAUGAUAAAAGAGUACAAAAAACAGAAUAGAGCAUUAAAUUGUGGACAAUUUUUUAAAAGUAAGUAGGGUAUUAAAUUAUGGACGGAGGGAAUAGUAAUUACUCCCUCUGUCCACCAAUUCAAUGCCUACUUGCUUUUUUGGUCCGUCCACAAAAACAAGGCCUACCUAUUUUUGGUAAGUUUUUAUUCAUUAUUUAAUCAAAAAAGUCAAAGAUUCUUUACAAAAAAGUGGGACCCUUUCUCCACUCAACUAAUAAAAAUACAUUUAUUUUUUAAAAUCCGUGUUUUUUCAUAUAGGCCUUUAAUUGGUGGACGAAGGGAGUACUAGAAAGUGGCAUUAGACCGAAGUAGGACACAUCACACACCGUCCAAAACCUAUUUUCCUUUCCCCCCACUUGGUCCCACUCCCAGACUAGACUCCAAUUUCCACAUCAUUUCGCGUGCAUUUCAAAGUAAUCUCAUUUGCAUUCGCAUCUGCAUUUGAAUUUCAUCUUCAUUUGAAUUUCAAAACCACUCCCAACCCCCACUCUUUCUCUGUCUAGGAGACAGAGACAGAGACACACACCUAAAACAUUUUCUCUCUCUACACCGCGCAGAACAAAACAAAGCUUUCCCUUCAUUUCGCUUUCUCUCGAUUUUUCUUCUCUCCACCCCAACUCAUACAUAUAUAUACACUCACCCUGUAUCUGUGUGUAUCCUUUCAUAAAACCUCGUCUUUUUCCUUCGUUUUUGUUUAUCUAGUUGAUCUCUGCGAUGAAGAUCGCCUUUUCUGCUUCAGACUUGUUUCUGUUCGUUGUUUCUUUUCGGUCGUUGGAUUGAUUAAUGAGCGGCUGACAUGAUCUAUUUGCAGAUCUCCGGUGAAAGCUCCGGUUUUUCGCGAUCGUAGGUGAGUUGAUUCCUUUUUGGCUUCUUUCUUAAUAUGUUUGGCUACUGACUGAGUAGUCGUUGACUUCAUUCUCUGAACUUAUCUGCGAUUCUGUGAAUUGAGAUUUUGUUAGUUCGAUUAGGAGUUAUGUUUGUUCUCCAAGUGAAAUCAUUUUAUUCAUGAGUUUUUGGACUUGAUUCGCAAUGGCUUGGUUUUUGAAUCAAAUCGUUGUAUUUUAGGUGAUUAUGCACAUCCUGCUAUGUUGAUUUGUAGUCAUUUUCUGCGAUCUUUCUGUGUGGAUAGAUUCAAACGCUUCUGGUUUAUGUGGAUGGUAAUUAUUGAUGCACGUGAAUGUAUCUGGUGAAUAUAUAUGUUUUUCGGAAUAAAGAUUCGUUUUUCGCGGGCUAUAGAUACAUAUAGGAAUUAUUCAUUUUUUUGAAUAUAAUGCAAAAGUAGAUUCUUUUCUCGACUACUACUUUAUUAUUUACUCCGGGGAAUAUUAUUUAGGUGGCUUAGCUUAAUAUGCACUUCUUGCUUUAUUGAUUGCUCUUCUUGAUGAUCUUAUUUUCCAUUUCUCGUUAAUGAUAUAUGAAUGGAACUCUCUGUAUCUUCCAUCUAGUCAUAGUAUAAAUUUGGUUUGCUUCUUUGUCUUUGUCUAAUUUAAGUAUUACAGACUUAUAACUGGACGAAUAGAGAUAUGAAAUUGGUUGCCCUUCCCCUUCAAUUUACAUAAGAUAAUUUUACCGUAGGUUACUUUGCUUCGAUAGUGUAUUUUGUUUUCAUCUUUGUAGUAUGAGUACAAGCAUGCUUUUGAAUGAUUUUUGUUCAACUUCAAAUGCUAGCUGAUUAUGUUGUUUUUGUUCUAUCCUUGUUUUACUUUUUCUGUCUUUUGUUAGGUCUUUGGUAUACUUUAUAAACAGUUUAUGUUAAACUUCUACAUAUGGUUAUUGAUAUUGGUUGACUUGCAGUUGAUCGAAGUAUGUGCAGUGGGCCUGAGCAAUCAAAUCCAAAUUCUUGUACGACCCAAGGGGCAGCUAUUAACCAAUCAAACAAGAAGGAUUUGAACAACUUAUCUGUAGAAACUGAUGAUUCCCUCUCCAGUUUGCUUGAAUUUGCCGCCAACAAUGAUAUUGAGUCUUUCAAGAGAUUGAUAGAGGUUGAUUUGUCUGUGGUUGAUGAGGCCGGACUUUGGUAUGUUCGUAAGAAAGGUUCAAAGCAGAUCAGCCCGGAAGAAAGAACUCCGUUGAUGGUAGCCGCUACUUAUGGUAGCGUCGAUGUAUUGAAGCUAAUAGUUGCGUUGCCUGAAGUUGAUUUAAAUAAAUCAUGUGGUGGCAAUAAGUGGACUGCGCUCCAUUGUGCGGCUUUUGGAGGUUCUAUCCAUGCAUUUGAUGUUGUGAAGUUGCUGUUAUCUGCUGGUGCUGAUCCCAAUAUUGAGGAUUCCCGUGGCUUGCGUCCAGGUGAUGUGAUUGUAGUUCCUCCAAAACUUCCUGGAGCUAAAGCUGCUCUUGAGGACUUGCUCAUGAACAACAUUUAUGAUGGGUCUAUUGGUGAGUGCAAUUUACGGGUCAACAUAUCUGGCUCAAAUGCAUCUUCCCCUGUACUGUCUUCAUCGCCAGAAAGCAGGUCUACGUGUUCGCUGUUAGAUUCUGUAUCUUCUCCCUCAGCUCCUAAGUUUGUCGAUCCUGCGGCUAAUUCUGUGUCAGAGAAGAAACAAUAUCUUGUGGAUCCAUCUCUACCAGAUAUUAGAAAUAGUAUCUACUCAACUGAUGAAUUCCGCAUGUUCUCAUUCAAGGUCAGGCCUUGUUCAAGGGCAUAUUCUCAUGAUUGGACUGAAUGCCCUUUUGUUCACCCUGGAGAAAAUGCCCGCAGAAGAGACCCGCGGAAGUACCACUACAGCUGUGUCCCUUGCCCUGAUUUUCGAAAGGGUGCAUGUAGGCGUGGGGAUAUGUGUGAGUAUGCUCAUGGCGUAUUUGAAUGCUGGUUGCACCCUGCUCAGUAUCGGACAAGGCUGUGCAAAGAUGGCACAAGCUGUGCGAGACAGGUGUGCUUUUUUGCGCACACCCAGGAAGAGCUUCGUCCUCUGUAUGUCUCUACUGGAUCCGGCGUGCCUUCUCCAAGAUCUGUGGCCUCUACAGCAAGCUUCAUGGACUUGGCUGCUGCCUUAAGCCUUUUGCCUGGUUCCCCAACAUCACAGUCUGUGAUGUCUCCUUCUGCAUUCAAUCAGACCUUGUCCCCUACAGCAAAUGGAAUGUCUCAUUCAUCUUCUGGAGCUUGGACUCAACCAAAUGUCCCCACUCUCAGUCUACCUGGUAGCAAUCUGCAGUCUAGUCGCCUGAGAUCUUCCCUCAGUGCUCGCGAUAUUCCACCUGAGGAUCUUAACAUGUUGCAGAAUUAUGAUUCCCAGCAACUGAUUUUAAAUGACAUGGCUUGUUUUUCACAGCCACGCCCUAAUUCUGCUAUGUUGGGUUCUGGCCGCUCCCAGGCAACGUUGACUCCUUCCAAUCUUGAAGAGCUUUUUUCUGCUGAGAUCGCAUCAUCUCCAAGACUUUCUGAUCAGGCAGCGGCUUAUGGUGUUUUUUCUCCUUCACAUAAAUCAGCUGUUCUUAAUCAGUUCCAACCGCAGCAAAACAUUUUAUCACCCAUAAAUACUAAUGUUUUUUCUCCAAGAAAUGUUGAACAUCCUUUGUUGCAGGCUUCUUUUGGUGUGUCAUCUCCAAGGAUGUCACCAAGAAGCUUGGAGCCAGCAUCCCCCAUGAGUGCCCGUCUCUCAGAUUUUGCUCAGCGUGAGAGGCAGCAGCAGCAGCAGAUGCGCAGCAUCAGCUCCCGGGAACUUGGGUCCAACUGUGCCUCUGUUGUGGGAUCUCCAGCAAGUGCAUGGUCUAAGUGGCGACCUGCGAACGGGAAAGUUGAUUGGUCAGUUGGCGCAGACCAUGAAGGUGGUUUGAAGAGAUCAUCCUCAUUUGAUCGCAGAGUAGCUGAUGGAGAAGAACCCGACUUGUCGUGGGUGCAAUCUCUUGUCAAAGAAUCACCACCUGAGAUGAUGGAGAAGCCCGCAGCCCCGAGUUCUGGCGCUGCACCAUCCGGUGAGUGUUUGAAACCACACCCUCAAACUGACUCCGUCGAUAACACUGUUUUAGGGGCUUGGCUCGAUCAGAUGCGACUUGAUCAGCUCAUAGUCUAGCGAAACAGAUCAUGAAUUCAUUCUCACUUAGACAAGCAAAAGUGUAGGAAGUAUAUAAAAAAUUUUGUGCUCUUUUUUGGCUCGCGGAAGAAAAGGUGCAAGUCGAAGGUAGCAGCAGCAAUGAUGGACUUCGGGAGUUCUUAUUGGUAAACUGAAAUUUAAUUUUUUCUUCUUCAAAAAAGUUGUAUUAAAAAACCUUACCUCAUUUAUUGAUUAUUACAACCUGAGUUUUCAUUUGUUAUAUCGGGCUGUACUAAAGUAAACCCAGCCCAGUUUGGGCAACUGUUCUUUUGUAUUCUGUUAAAUCCGAAUAUUAUAUUUCCCAUGUAUCAUGUUUCCAUGAUUCUUUAAGCAAAUGUGAUCAAUUCAUGAAUGUUAGUAUUAUCUUGUUAGUGAGUGAUUAUGAUAUUUCAUUGUUUUGCUUGCGACAAGAAGUAGGAAUGGAUUGGAUGCCACAUAUGUUGAUGGUGAUUGGUUUAGGUUAGAAGUGGAGAGGGACGUAAUGUGCACUAAUUUUCUUGUGUUGGAAAAAUGGGGGAGUGGACUGGUGUGGGUGGUGGGGAUCAGUUGUUGGUGAUUGCAUCAUCUUUGAUGCUGAUUUGUGGGGCUCCUUAAUUAAUUAUUACUGCCUUCUUUAUUCUCUCAUGGGGACAAACUCCAGUUUAUUCGGAUAAAACACGGAAGUCUUUGUCGUAUUGUGUCAAUUUUCUUUCCUAUUAUUAAAUUAUAGUAGUUAUUUAAUGUUCUUUUAUGAGACCAUUUAUGUUGAUUUUUGUCGAGUUGUGCAACAAAAACAUUUAUGAUCAUAUGUUCAAGAGCAACCAAGUCAACAUUUUUUUUUUCUUUUAUGAAUUUGAUUUUUACGAGAAGACAAAUUGGACGAGAGGACACAGAGAUAAGAGGGAGGUUUCUUGUACGAAGAUAAUUAAUAUUGCCUUAACAAACAAUGAGAAACACAAAAAUAAAGCAAAACGGGUGAAGGAACAGAUGACAGUUUUUUUUUCUUUUUCUUUUUUUGUUUUAUUACAUUUUAAGGAUAAUAUUUUCUAUGAGGACGAUCUCCCCUUGAGAAAGCGCCAAGGUCCUGUUCCUGUUCCCAUCCUGCAUUCAAAUACAAAAAUUGGGGUAUUAGUUAGAAAAAAAGAGAAAAAAGUUAUGGUGAAAAAACACAGAUUUUUUCACCUCCAAAACCCAGCAAAUGUUCUUAGUCCCAUGUAGAUGGUUAAAGCGAACCAGAUACCGAUGAAACCGUUAGUUUUUGACAGAAGAAACAAUGAUCCAAUGCUUACUAUGGAUACAAGCACCUGAAAAAUUGUGAAUAUAUAUGUCAAAUAAAAGUUGGUAAUGAAUAAAUGUUGAUCUUAGAUGGUAAAUUAAUGGAGUUAACCAUGGAGUAUGCAGAGUAUGCGAAGUCAGACGCUCCAAAAUUGACACCAUCGAAAACGAAUGCCAGAGUGUUUAUAGGCUGCGUUGCUGCUACAAACUGAAUCAUCAUACAACGCCAGUCAAGAUCGAACCUAAGUUAGCAUUUAACAUUUAGAUUAUAGGAAGCUUGAGUGAGUGAGUUACCGGGAUGCCUAUGGCGAUCAUAUGAAUAACAUUCUUGUCCUUGGAAAAUAUUCCUGAUCCAAACUGCAGCCCGACUCCAACGAAGACAGCAAGCCCGAGCCCAAGCACGAAUCCCAUCUGCAAAAAACGCAGUUUAUUGGAUCACGAAUGUGCUGUUACUUUGCUUUAGAUUAAUUGGUGGUAGUUAAAAAUCACCUGCAGCACUCGAGUUGCAGCAGCUGUUGCUUUCUGAUAGUCUUUCUCAGCAAAUGCACAAGCAAGGAUUGCCUAAAAAUCAUUAGUGGUUUGCAUUGAUUAUACUACUAACAAAAAAAAAUAUAAAAAUUUGAUGAGCAUAAUAAGUAAGUAAGUAACAUGUCCAGCAACUGCCAAGCCAUCAGCAAGGAGUGAAGAAGUGAGCCAGACCUGCAGGCAUAUAUGGAAUGCAGCCAUGGGAGUCGGGCCGAACCUUGCAGCCAACGAAGCAGCCAACGUCACACAGAUAGUCACAGCUAUCACUCUUGCUAGUAAGAGGAAACCUGCAGGCGAGGGAGUGUCAAAAGGCGCGUUCUAGAAUAAGGAGUAUCGACUAAUUAAUUAACUUGCCAUUCUUGAGGAAUCUCUUCAGCUGCAGAUCUUUGAUGCUUGGAGGCAACAUCACAAUCUGUGUUGCUAACUUGCUAAACAGAAUCAGAGUGAUCAAGUACCUAAAAAUAAAAAUAAAAAUUAAACAUUUCAUGUUAAUAAUUAGUAUAUAUGGUAGGUAGUGAGUGGAAACUGACUGUGAAAGGACAUGAGCAAUGGCAGCACCGGCGACGCCCCAACGACACACAAAUAUGAAAAUGGGGUCCAAAAUUAUGUUGGUUAGGUCACCUACAACUGUUGACAGAAAACAAGACAUAUAUGAAUGAUAUAUACAUACACAUUAAAAAUAAAAAUGAAAUGUUAAUAUUAAUGUUACCAAUAGCAUAGAGAGGAGUUUUAGUAUCUUUGAAACCGCGAAAGAUGCCUUGCAUGGCUAGAGAGAGAAGGACUGCAGGAGCACCAAGUGACCUUAUGGUGAGGUACCUCUCUGCAGGUUCCAGCAUUGGAGAUCCCUAUAUAUAUAUAUAUGAUCCACAAUUUCAUCAUCAUUUCAUUUGAUUAUUACAAUAAGUUAUGUAAUGAAAAGGGAUAUAUGUUGGUAGUAAUUACCGUUUUGACACCCAUCAAGUUCAAGAGAGGUUUAGCAAGGAAUACAAGGAAAAUGGUCUGGAUGAGGCCCAACACUACUCCAAGGACCAGAGCAGUCGAUGCUGAAGGGAUGUUACGCCGCUCACUUUCCCACUUCCACUUGCUUCCUUUACCUUCUGCUCAACAAAACAAAACAAUCAAUAUUCAACUACUGCAACGGAGGGAUAAUAUUAUCCCUCAUUUGUAGUGAAAAUGAGGAAUAAGUAAGAGUCAAAUUCUAUUUUGUAGGAAAUGAGGGAAAGAAAAUGAUGAUUUAAAGGGUGAAAUUUUAUUUAUCCCUCAUUUUCCCAUGAUAAAUUUACAAUCAAAGAUAACGCAUCCUAAGUAGUUAUAUUUUGUGCAACUGGCCUCCUAUCCUUCAUAAAUAAAGGUAAGAUCGACCAAAUGACUAACGGGUCUUCCAACUCCCUCAACAAAAUUUAGAUUUUGUGUGUGUGGUGUGGGGGCAUAACUAAAUGAAAAACAUUUACUAUAGAAAAUAAGAAAAGAAAAAGUAAUAAUUUUGUUGAUGGAGUUGGAAGGCCCGUUAGUUAUUUGAGAGAUCUUUGCUGAUAUUUAUCAACGAUAAGAAAUAAGUUGUACAAAAUAUAACGAUAGAAAAUUAGUUAUACAAAUUAAACACAAUGGUAUAAAGCAAUAGUUGUACAAUAAUGACAUGGAGCUAAUUGUUUUAAGCUGUAAAUGUUAGGAUGUUUUGUUACAAAUCUAUUUUUAAAUAUAACCUACGUAAAAAUUAAUUGUGAACACAUGAUAAGUUUCAUAAAACAUGAUAAAUUAAAAAAAAAAAAAUGCCCAGGAACACGAAUUUAUUCGAUAAAAUGAUGAAUUCAGUAUAGAUAUUCACCAUUUAAAGGCUGAAAAUGAAAACUAGUUUAAAUUUUAAAACGAAUUUCUAUUUUAUCCGAUCCACACGUAUAUAUAGGGUAGGGUUAGGCUACACAUUAAACUCAUAUCAAAAUAAAAACUACUCCUACAAACUAUGAAAACAUAUAUAGUGAAUAAUAUAUAUACCAUGAGGGUUGAUGUUGUUGGAUUUUUCAUCAACGAUGGCAAUGUUGGUGCUGUGCUGCUGUUGUUGUGUUAUUGUUGUCAUUGUUGUCAGAUGGCGGCUUCUCCAAGUCAUGAGCAUCGGAGAUUCUGUUGACAGUAUCUUCCUGAGCAACAAAUGAGGUGGUGAUGCUAACAAGUGGGAAUAUGGUGACUUUGGAGGCUUGGUUGAAGAUAGCAAUGGAAACUCCUACAGCUCCGAUUUCCACCGCCCCUAAGUGCCCGAUAAACGCCGUAUCGAUCAAAGAUGCGAUGGGAUCGGCGGCCAACGCCAGCGCCGCCGGGAACGCGAUGCGCAGUAUCUCCCGCCCUAGCUCAUCCCUCUUCAAAACAUUCCUACAUUUCAAACCAAAUUGAAUUAAAACACAAUUUAUAUAGUAUGCUAAAUUAAUUAAAGUUUGAUGAGAAAACAAAUUAAGAAACCUAGCAUCUUGGAAGAAGACAAACACCGGGAACUUCCACUUUCCGGCAGCUGACACCUCAGCAUUAUUCUCAUCACCCAUUGAGCUUCCAACUGCAAUUAAUUCAUAUGAAUUAUUCCUAGCAUGAGCAUAUAUAGACAUCGAUCACCACCUUAAUUUGUGUGAUAAUUGGAGGUAGCUAGCAAUGACAAGGUAAUUUCUCCAUGAAUUAUUUAAUUGUUAAGGAAAGGAGAUGCAAGAGCCUUCCUAGGCUCUCACUCCCCUGGAUAAUGAAAUCAGGCCACAUAUAUACAACUAAUUAAUUAUAUAGUAUCAUAGUACUAUAAUUAUUUAUUCUCCCCAAAAAAUGGUUAACAAAUGUGGUGAAGAAAAAUGACGUUGCAUGAAUCAAGACUACGGUGUGGAACUAUCUUGAAAAACGUUUCAUCAAAAUUAAUCAAAUGCAUGCGUCUUAAUCAAACGAACUUUAUUCAAACAGGUAUUAUCUGGGGCUUUCUAACUAAUAUAGUCAAGUAUCAUAUUUUAGUUCUGUACAGACAUAGUUUUUUUUUUUUUUAAAUAAUACUACUAAUUAAUGUGUUUGCUAUUAUGAAGGAUCCGAGUCGUGCAUGCAUCAACUAUACCUAAUAUUAAAUUAAUAUAGUAUGAAGCAAAUAUUUAUAAAUUUAGCAAAUAUUUGUAAAAAGUAGUUAAAAUUAGGAAGCAUGACAUGAAUAUAUGUUUAGAAUCGAGCUAAUUGUUAAAACAUGACCGUAACUUUUAGUGUUUUUGAAAAAGAGGACCAUGUGUUACGGAAUUUAAAAAUGGGGCCUAUAUAUUACGAAAUUUGAAAAUAAAAACUAUAGCUUCAAUUAUUUACAUUUACAUCCUAUUUAACACAUCAAAAUGAGGACUAUAACUUACAUCAUGGCCCAAAAUAGGAGUGUAAUUAAAUAUAAAAAAUAAAAGCUAUAGUCCCUAUUUUCAAAUUUCAUAACAUAUAGUCAUUUUUUUCAAAAACACUAAAACUUAGGGUCCUAUUUUAAGAAUGAGGUCUUUAUUAAAACAUUGAGAAUGAAAGAAGUAGUGAUGCACGUUGGAUUUACAUUAUAUCUUGAGAAGGACAGGUGGACAGCAACACAGGCCAAUGAAAUCAAUUCUUUCUAACUACAUCACAUAAAGCCUAAAGUAACGUCUAAAAUUCACUCAAUUAUACAUGCAGAUGAUAAAUAAUGAAUGAAGAUAUACCUAGUCAUUUCUUUUAUUGAUUUUAGCAUCACCGACUCAUAUAUUAAUACUUUUGAGUAGUGAUAUAUAUACACACACAUGUACGUGCGCGAUUUGUCGAAAGUAAAGUAAAUUAAAGCUAUUUUAUUAAUUGAUGAUCCAAUCAUAUAUCCAUUAUAUUACCCCUUUUAUGAAAUGGACUGCUCUAGAAAAAUUUCUCGUACGUGUUUGUGUGUGUGCAUGAGAGAGAGAGAGAGAGAGAGAGAGAGAGAGAGAGAGAGAGAGNAUGGCUGGAAGUUCAGAACUCGGCGACGGUGGUGGUGUGCGAGAGAGAGAGAGAGAGAGAGAGAGAGAGAGUAUGGGCUGCCGUGACAGAUUACUCAUCCUCCAUUAGGAGCGACGAUAAGCAAUGGACGAAAUUAUCGCCAUGACAUGUAUCUAUAAUUUAUUUAGAUUAUAGCUGUAUUUAAAUGAGUGGAGUAUAUAUUUUUGUUUCAAGAUUAACAAAAAAAGUUAAUUUAUACAUAAGAGUAAAACUGAUAACAUAUAAUGUACUCACACUUGAAUUUGAUGAGACCAGCAAAUUAGCUGUAUCAAUGCUGCAGAUCACCUAGCAAAAGAGAGGAAAUAACAGGCAAAAAAUUAAUACCAGAGACCUAGAAAUAAGAUGCAAACUAAAAUAUACAGACUGGUUUAAUUGCAUUUGUUUGUUACAUUUUCAAAUAUGAUAAGAAAGUAGCAACAAAAUUUGUCAAGUGAAAUAAACAAUAUUUCUAUAAAUGUGGAUUAUUGUUGAAUGUAACAGAAUGAAAUGAGAAAGAAGAUUGAUGAACGUGAAAGAGGCUGGGAUACAGUUUCUGGAAAGUAAAUAAAUACUGAUGUAGCAUGCACAUCUCACCUCUCUCUCUCUCUCAACUUAAGAAGUGUAAAUGCUUUUGGUGUCGAGUUUGGUUUGAACACUAAAACCCCAUCACUCCGCCCUUUAUAUACACCUUUUUUCACUUCACUACUUUUCUCCUUAAUUCUAUUUUUAAUCAAUUCAAUAUUAUACACAUCACUAAUAAUGCGUCACUCUGUGAUUGUGUGUGAGAGAGAACGUGAAUCCAAUGUGUGUCUCAGAGAGAUCUAAUAUGGACUUAUUUUUAAAGGGAAGAGUGGUGAUUACUAAGAGCAACUACGUACAAUCAUGUCCACCACAUCCUUACAAUUUCUAACACUCCUUUUUUUGUAUUUUUAUUAUGUUGUAAUUUCAUCUUAUGUUUUUUUUUUUUAUUAUUAUUUCCCAAAGGGACACCAAGCGGUGCGACCUCCUGUGUGUGAACAGUGAGGUCUCGGGUUCAAACCCCACUGCUCCUCCUCCCCAACUCCCCCUAGUCAAAAAAAAAAAANUUAUGUUGUAAUUUCGUCUUAUGUUUUUUUUUUAAUUUAUUAUUAUUAUUAUUAGUCCGUAUUAGUUUUGUUGAAUGUGUAGUAUCUAUGUUCUUGAAAUGACUUUGAUCAAUUUGUAAUUAAGGGAUUUAUAUAUAGCUUUUGUAAGAUUGUAUAUUUAAAAAUAAUUUAAAUUAUUAUUGUUGAGUUGUAUAUGAUAUUUAAUAAUAACUGCCACAACCACCAUCGAUCGUGCGCCUUCACUCUCAAAUCACCCCAAAGACCCGAACCCCUUCCCUCCGCUCCCCGUCGAAAAUUCGACCAACCAAUAGGCUGCCACCUUCGUCGCCUCUUUCGUUUUCAGGCUACUUCCUUUACGCCACAUGCUAUCCCUCUGAAAUCUCUACAUCUACUUUAAUUUCCUAUUUGCCGCCACCUUCCUCCCUCUGCCCUCAACCCAACAACAUUGCAAUUAACAUGUUCAUUUUCACACAAAAAAGAAAAAAAAAAAUGAAAGAUUAUGCAUCAUAAGGAAACACAAUAAAUCAAGUGUAAUUUUCGAAUCCUUGAAAUAAAUUUAUGGCAAUUAACCCGGAAUACAAUAUUCUUUUGAAGUUAAACGUAUAAUUUGAUGAUCAUUGAAAAUAUUUAUACAUUUACCAUAUCACAGAGGUCGCACUUGCUAAUUAAUGUUCCCAAUUGGACGAAUUUUUAGCUAGUUAAUUGUUAUGAUUAUCCGUUCAAAAAAACUAAAAAAUUGUUAUGAUUAUUGAUGCGCGCGAGAGAGGAAAUAUAUUUAUUUCGUAGUUUAGGCAUGCAUUAUGUUACGUAGUGAUUCACGAGAGUGAGAGGUUUUAAUUAAUAAAAAAAAAUACCUCCUCUUAAUUAAUUUGCAAUUUUGCUCUUAGGUGUUUUAUGAUGAGUCGAUGACACAAGUUUGCACAUUGCUCUUUGAAAUUUAACACUCAUAAGUUUCCAUAAUAUAACAACUCAUUUUCACAAAAAAAAAAAAUAUCAUAUAAAAACUCUUUUCGUUUAGAGGUGUAAUAUAUAAAAAACAAUAAUUAUGAGCAAAAAUGAGUUAGUCAUAUAUGCAUGACACUAAUUUAUUACAAUGGAAUAAUUAUUGAUUCUUAAUUAUACCUCAGAUUUUCUUCUAAAGAAAUUUUAGAAGAGCUAGAGAUAAUAUAAUCUUAGCUGAUUUUCUUGAAGAGAAUUUUUGGAAGAGCUUGAGAUAAUAUUCUUAGCUCGAAAACCGUACCAAAGUGAUAAGAAACCAUUUUAUAUAUCUAAAAUUGUUAUCAUCCUCUAGUUUAACAAAACGAAUUCUUUCAGUAGGUUAGAUGAAAAAUUAAUUAUAGUAUUAUGAAAGAAUAAAUGGAACGAGUGUUGCACUCGGCACAUCAUAUAGUACAAAGGGGCAUAGUUGUCAUUAUAGGGUGGAAUUCCACCACUUAUACAUCGGAGAAAAGACAAAAAUAAUGAGUUUAAUUAUAUUGUCCACUUUCUGCAAAUAUGGAGCACGUAUGAUUCCACCACUUUCCUUCGGCUAAACUUACCUAAUUUUUGUUGGUAAGUUGACUCGCAAUGCAAUUUCCUUAUUACGCACGUGUAUAUGUAUAUAAUAAAAAUCUCAUUUUUUUCAGAAUUUAAACUCAAGUAAAAAUAUAUUUUCAUAUAAAAUAUUAAUUUAUUCAAUUUAUUCGACUUAUUCGCACACAUUCUCCAUUAUCUAAAUAUAUAGCAUUCUUCUUAUUUUCUCUUUCUCUCUCUCUCUCUAAAUCAAUUAUCUAUAUAUCUAUAUAUAUAUAUAUAGGAAGAUUGUUCUAAAUAAAAAUAUCUGUUAAAAUGAGAACUAGGAACCUAAUCUUAGCCAUUUAUUUUUAUUAAUGUGCGGUUAGGAUUUGAUUUCUUUAUUUAUGAUUUUAGUUUAAUUAAAAAUCGUAGUGGGGUUAAUAAUGUAAUUGAUUAUGAUUCCACAUAUAUAGGUAACCGAAAUUUAAGAGAUUUGCUUUCAUUUCCUUUUUCAUUUACAUAGAUAAAUCACUUUGUUUUUAUUUGAUUUUUCUACAGUUUUAGGUUUUCUUUAAUUCUCUACAAUCUACAAUCAUAUUAUUAUUAAUUACUUUUGUGAAUGUUGAAAUCAUAUCUUACGAAUUAAAUAAUAAUGAUAUUCUUCAUUUUUUGUAUCUCCAUUUUUGUUAUCAUCAUGGUUUCAUUUUUAGUUUCUUCAAAAAAAUCGAUAGUUCAAUUUUUUAGAGAAAAAUUUGAAUUGCAUAAUGACUAUUUACGGUUGCACACAUAUAUUUAACAUGAUGUUUUGUUAUUCUUUGUAGCAUAACAUAAUAACACGAGCUGCAUAGAAUAAAUUAAUUAGGUUUUUUGUUUAUUUCUUUGUAUAAGGAUAGUAAUGUAAGAUUUGACUGCUGCAUUUAGAGAAAAUUGAAUUGCAUAAUGACAUUUAGAGUUGCAUACAUUCACUUACUUUGAUGUUUCCUUCUUUCUUUGUAGCAUAUACAUAGUAAUACGAUGUUUGGUUGUUGCUUUUUGCUAAGAUCAAUUGCACAGCACUUACUGAAAUGCUUAUCAAAUGAGAUUAUUGAGAGUUGCACAAUAAAUGACUAUGAGUUGAACACGAUCAUUAAUAAAUAAUUUAACAUAUAUAACAAUCAAAUUUAGUUUGCACAAUAAGUAAAAUAUAUCUUUAAUGACCUAUCUUAACUGAAUGAUGUGAAGAACAUAUAGAUGACAUAAAAUUUACGUUCAGUUUCCUCUCCAAAAAAUUGAACAUAUUCUUAUCCAAAAAACUAAGUUGCACAGCAGUCGAUCUCCUUCUCAAUUGAUGUUUGAACACUGAUCUACUCUGGAAAGCUUCACAAGAAUAAAUCAAUCACUAGUAACCCAUGCAAGAAUUCUGUCUAUCGCCAAAUACUUCAACAUCGUGACUUCAGUUCUUGUAGACCGACGCACGAACAAACAUAUCUCUGCACCAAUCAUGAUUUUCAUCGCCUAUUUGGUUGGAACUAAACACAUGAAAGUCUAGAAUAUCAUGUAUUUAUACGUGAAUAUGCAUUAUGAAUGUUAUUAUUAUGCAAGUGGAUGAUUUGAGUGCAACUCGUACUACAUAAUGACGCAACAAAACAAUUACAACAGCAAACAAAACCAAAUGUACUUUUCCAAUACGAAUAGGUCAUUAUGCAAACUUCAAAAUUCUACAUAAACAAUCAUCACAUUUAUUACAAGUAAUAUUUUUAUCAUGAUAUAAUAUAUUUAUUCUAAUAACUUUAAUGCAUGAGUAACCACAUACUAUAGAUGUUAGAACUAUGCAUAAUAAUUUAUGUUGUGUGCAACAAAUAACUUAUUUUCUAUGUAACAACUCACAAUACAAUCUUUCAUGCAACUAGUCACCUCAAUAAAUGCCAAGAAUAUUUCUUUCACAUUUAGGAAACAAAAUAUCAUUUUCCACGUAUAUUACCAUAUGUGCAACUAAGAAAUUUCUACGCAAACGAAAACACUAACACAUAAUUCCCGCAACAACAAACUUAUAUUCAAAUUCUCUAUAAAAUUAACAUAUUUUCCACGUAUCUAAAUUGUGCAAACACUACCAGAUCUCUGUGCAUAUUCAAAAUCAUAUUUAAAUUCAAAUAACAAGUAUAACAUUUUCCACACAAAACACAAUAACCAAGCAACACAAUACUCUCCUGUAUGCAACAACAAAGAAUUUUAUUCCACACAAAACACAAUAAUCGAGCAACACAAUAUUAUCAUCUAUGCAACAACAUCACAAUCUGUGCAACUGAUGCACAAUAACAAUAAAAACAAAACCAUUUGUGCAACUAAUAACAUCAUACAAAUGCAACUAGCUUCAACUGUGCAACAAAUAACUAAUUUCUAUAUAACAACUCACAAUACAAUAUUUCCUGCAACUAGUGACCUCUAGAUCUAGUGAAUAGCAUGCUUAAGGUGUGCUAAAAGUUUAUGCUAAAAAUUCGCAUAUGUGCAUCUACGCAAUGAAGCCAACUAUGCAACAACGCAAUCAAAUUAAUUGUGCAACAUACUUAAGCAAAUAUGCAAUGAAUCAACUAUGUAACUAUGCAUAUUCCAGCCAACUAUGCAAUACAAUCAAGCUUCUAUGCAACUAAAAUUUUAAUCAAAAUCCCAUCAAUAUCAAACAACAAUUUAUGCAACACAUACAAAUUCAGAAACACUGUCACAAAUUUAAUUAACACGUACAUAUUUUGAGAACAAUCCGUGCAUCACAAUAAAUCAACUAUGCAAGUACAAUUAACUUAAUUUUCCCAGCAACAUCAAACAACAAUAUAUGCAAUAAAAACAAAUUUAGAGGAAUUGUGAAUAACUAUGCAAUAAACUAAAGCAACUAUGCAAUUACAUACACAAUUGUGCAUCACAUUCCAACAACUAUGCAAUUGAAAUUUUUAAGAGUAAAUACCGUCGCCGCCGUUCGUGAAUCGCCACCGCCUUGUUUCUAUCGCUCCACCUUGUUUCUAUCGCUGGAGUAAACUCUUAAUAGCUGUCACCGCCGUCGGAU